CAAGGAUUCCCCUAGUAACUGCGAGUGAAGCGGGAAAAGCUCAAAUUUAAAAUCUGGCAGUCUUUGAUUGUCCGAGUUGUAAACUAGAGAAGUGUUAUCCGCGCUGGACCGUGUAAAAGUCUCCUGGAAUGGAGCAUCAUAGAGGGUGAGAAUCCCGUCUUUGACAUGGACUACCAGUGCUUUGUGAUGCGCUCUCAAAGAGUCGAGUUGUUUGGGAAUGCAGCUCAAAAUGGGUGGUAAAUUCCAUCUAAAGCUAAAUAUUGGCGAGAGACCGAUAGCGAACAAGUACCGUGAGGGAAAGAUGAAAAGAACUUUGGAAAGAGAGUUAAACAGUACGUGAAAUUGCUGAAAGGGAAACGCUUGAAGUCAGUCGCGUCGGCCAGGAAUCAACCUUGCUUUUGCUGGGCGUACUUUCUGGUUGACGGGUCAGCAUCAAUUUUGACUGCUGGAAAAAGUUCAAGGGAAUGUGGCAUCUUCGGAUGUGUUAUAGCCCUUGUUCGCAUACAGCAGUUGGGAUUGAGGUACUCAGCACGCCGCAAGGCCGGGUUUCGACCACGUUCGUGCUUAGGAUGCUGGCAUAAUGGCUUUAAUCGACCCGUCUUGAAACACGGACCAAGGAGUCUAACAUGCCUGCGAGUGUUUGGGUGGAAAACCCAAGCGCGCAAUGAAAGUAAAAGUUGAGAUCCCUGUCAUGGGGAGCAUCGACGCCCGGACCAGAGCUUUUGUGACGGAUCUGCGGUAGAGCAUGUAUGUUGGGACCCGAAAGAUGGUGAACUAUGCCUGAAUAGGGUGAAGCCAGAGGAAACUCUGGUGGAGGCUCGUAGCGAUUCUGACGUGCAAAUCGAUCGUCAAAUUUGGGUAUAGGGGCGAAAGACUAAUCGA
rnacentral:rRNA from 1 species